GUUCCCUCUUCAAAAAGCCACCUUCAAUUACACCAAAGACAGCUGUAUUUUUCAAUUUCUGAAAUUGAAUAAGGAUUAAAAUACAUUACAUAUAAGAAUAAUUUUUUUAAACCAACUUCAUACUGACUACAAGUUCCAGCAGCCAUGAUUUCAAACAUUAGGAAUAAAAUAAUGAGCAAACAUCAAAGAAAAAAAAAAACAAAAAAACAAGUGCAGAUAAUAUUUGCAUACUCACAAAGGCUUUAAGAGACUGAAGGAAAUUGAAAUUGUAAUUCAUGUUGCAACCUAUACCUGUAUCUGCUUACACUAAACACAAGGACGGUUGUCUCCAGGUCUACAUGAAAUUCUGAGAAAGGUAUCAAGUAGUUGUGGGUUGUGCUAGAAACAACAGCUAAAUCUCCCUUAAAUCACACAUCUUUUUGUUUGAAAGUUUUUUUUUCUACCAAAAAGGCUUCUCUCAUAAUUUUUAAGUGCAUAUAGUGCAAACAAAAAACAGAGGGAAAAAAUCAUAGAUUUUCCUAAAUUCUUUUCAU
rnacentral:misc_RNA from 1 species